rnacentral:rRNA from 1 species
GACGAACGCUGGCGGCGUGCUUAACACAUGCAAGUCGAACGAUGAAGUUCCUUCGGGAAUGGAUUAGUGGCGAACGGGUGAGGAACACGUGAGAAACCUGCCUUUCAUUUUGGGAUAACUCCGGGAAACCGGGGCUAAAACCGAAUACUCCGUCUCGGCGGCAUCGCCGAGCCGGGAAAAAAGUUUGAUGAAAGAUGGUCUCGCGGCCUAUCAGCUAGUAGGUGAGGUAAUGGAUCACCAAGGCAACGACGGGUAGCCGGCCUGAGAGGGCGACCGGCCACACUGGGACUGAGACACGGCCCAGACUCCUACGGGAGGCAGCAGUGGGGAAUAUUGGGCAAUGGGCGCAAGCCUGACCCAGCGACGCCGCGUGAGGGAUGAAGGCCUUCGGGUUGUAAACCUCUUUCAGUAGGGAAGAAGCGAAAGUGACGGUACCUAAAGAAGAAGCACCGACUAACUAUGUGCCAGCAGCCGCGGUAA